rnacentral:rRNA from 1 species
UAAGGAAUAUUGCGCAAUGGGGGAAACCCUGACGCAGCAACGCCGCGUGGAGGAUGACACUUUUCGGAGCGUAAACUCCUUUUAUCAGGAAAGAAUAAUGACGGUACCUGAUGAAUAAGCACCGGCUAACUCCGUGCCAGCAGCCGCGGUAAUACGGGGGGUGCAAGCGUUACUCGGAAUCACUGGGCGUAAAGGACGCGUAGGCGGAUUAUCAAGUCUUUUGUGAAAUCUAGUGGCUUAACCACUAAACUGCUUUGGAAACUGAUAGUCUAGAGUAGGGGAGAGGUAGAUGGAAUUCUUGGUGUAGGGGUAAAAUCCGUAGAGAUCAAGAAGAAUACCCAUUGCGAAAGCGAUCUGCUGGAACCUAACUGACGCUGAGGCGUGAAAGCGUGGGUAGCAAACAGG